UACAGAGGUCUCAAGCGUUGUUCGGAUUCAUUGGGCGUAAAGGGUGUGUAGGUGGCGCGUAAGUCGGGUGUGAAAUUCGACGGCUUAACUCCGAAACUGCAUUCGAUACUGCCGGUGCUUGAGGACUGGAGAGGAGACUGGAAUUUAUGGUGUAGCAGGUGAAAUGCGUAGAGAUCAUGAGGAAGACCAGUGGCGAAGGCGGGUCUCUGGACAGUUCCUGACGCUGAGGCACGAAGGCCAGGGGAGCAAACGGG
rnacentral:rRNA from 1 species